GACGAACGCUGGCGGCGUGCUUAACACAUGCAAGUCGAACGGAAAGGCCCUGCUUUUGUGGGGUGCUCGAGUGGCGAACGGGUGAGUAACACGUGAGUAACCUGCCCUUGACUUUGGGAUAACUUCAGGAAACUGGGGCUAAUACCGGAUAGGAGCUCCUGCUGCAUGGUGGGGGUUGGAAAGUUUCGGCGGUUGGGGAUGGACUCGCGGCUUAUCAGCUUGUUGGUGGGGUAGUGGCUUACCAAGGCUUUGACGGGUAGCCGGCCUGAGAGGGUGACCGGCCACAUUGGGACUGAGAUACGGUCCAGACUCCUACGGGAGGCAGCAGUGAGGAAUAUUGCACAAUGGGCGGAAGCCUGAUGCAGCAACGCCGCGUGCGGGAUGACGGCCUUCGGGUUGUAAACCGCUUUCGCCUGUGACGAAGCGUGAGUGACGGUAAUGGGUAAAGAAGCACCGGCUAACUACGUG
rnacentral:rRNA from 1 species